rnacentral:rRNA from 1 species
GACGAACGCUGGCGGCGUGCUUAACACAUGCAAGUCGAACGCUGAAGCUCAGCUUUUGUUGGGUGGAUGAGUGGCGAACGGGUGAGUAACACGUGAGUAACCUGCCUCCUUCUUUGGGAUAACGCCCGGAAACGGGUGCUAAUACUGGAUAUUCACUGGUCUUCGCAUGGGGGUUGGUGGAAAGGGUUUUUCUGGUGGGGGAUGGGCUCGCGGCCUAUCAGCUUGUUGGUGGGGUGAUGGCCUACCAAGGCUUUGACGGGUAGCCGGCCUGAGAGGGUGACCGGUCACAUUGGGACGGAGAUACGGCCCAGACUCCUACGGGAGGCAGCAGUGGGGAAUAUGGCACAAUGGGCGCAAGCCUGAUGCAGCGACGCCGCGUGAGGGAUGGAGGCCUUCGGGUUGUGAACCUCUUUCGCUCAUGGUCAAGCCGCAACAAUGGUUGUGGUGAGGGUAGUGGGUAAAGAAGCGCCGGCUAACUACGUG